rnacentral:rRNA from 1 species
CUGAGCUAUACAUGCAAACAGAGUUCCGACCAGAGAUGGAAGGAAUGCUUUUAUUAGAUCAAAACCAAUCGGUAGCGGGCUUGCCUUGCUCACCGUUUGACUUGRUGACUCUGAAUAACUUUGUGCUGAUCGCACGGUCACGUACCGGCGACGCAUCUUUCAAAUGUCUGCCCUAUCAACUGUCGAUGGUAGUUUCUUCGACUACCAUGGUUGUUACGGGUAACGGGGAAUCAGGGUUCGAUUCCGGAGAGGGAGCCUGAGAAACGGCUACCACAUCCAAGGAAGGCAGCAGGCGCGCAAAUUACCCACUCCCGGCACGGGGAGGUAGUGACGAAAAAUAACGAUACGGGACUCAUCCGAGGCCCCGUAAUCGGAAUGAGUACACUUUAAAUCCUUUAACGAGGACCCAUUGGAGGGCAAGUCUGGUGCCAGCAGCCGCGGUAACUCCAGCUCCAAUAGCGUAUAUUAAAGUUGUUGCGGUUAAAAAGCUCGUAGUUGAAUCUGUGUCCCACACUGUCGGUUCACCGCUCGCGGUGUUCAACUGGCAUGUCUGUGGGACGUCCUACCGGUGGGCGCAGCCCGUCAAACGGCGGCCCAACUUAAAAUCCUACCACGGUGCUCUUCACCGAGUGUCGAGGUGGGCCGGUACGUUUACUUUGAACAAAUUAGAGUGCUUAAAGCAGGCUCAUUCGCCUGAAUAUUCUGUGCAUGGAAUAAUGGAAUAGGACCUCGGUUCUAUUUUGUUGGUUUUCGGAACUCCGAGGUAAUGAUUAAUAGGGACAACUGGGGGCAUUCGUAUUGUGACGUUAGAGGUGAAAUUCUUGGAUCGUCGCAAGACGGACAGAAGCGAAAGCAUUUGCCAAAUGUGUUUUCAUCAAUCAAGAACGAAAGUUAGAGGUUCGAAGGCGAUCAGAUACCGCCCUAGUUCUAACCAUAAACGAUGCCAGCUAGCGAUCCGCCGAAGUUCCUCCGAUGACUCGGCGGGCAGCUUCCGGGAAACCAAAGCUUUUGGGUUCCGGGGGAAGUAUGGGUUGCAAAGCUGAAACUUAAAGGAAUUGACGGAAGGGCACCACCAGGAGUGGAGCCUGCGGCUUAAUUUGACUCAACACGGAAACCUCAC